ACAGGCGUAGCCAAAAGGUAAGGCGUGGGACCUUGACUCCCAUAUGUGUUGGUUCGACUCCAUCCGCCUGUU
rnacentral:tRNA from 1 species